ACUUGAAUAGUUUAAGUUAAGAAUUGUAAUUUGUGGUGUUACAGGUGUAUAAUUACUUCAAGUC
rnacentral:tRNA from 1 species